AAAAUGUUAUAGCGCUGUUAGGAAGUGCUGUUCUAGAAUAUAGAAUGUGGCUGCCGUGAGUGGAGUGUGACUAUGAGAUAGUUGCCUGACUGGAGACAAUGAAGCCUCAGGCCAAGGAUGCUCACUCCUACUCAGCCCUGUUUAGUGGGAUUUUUCAGCCUACUGUAAAGCCUACUGCUGCCUGUAAAGCCACCUAAGUGCAUCACUUGCUGGUGUUCACCAUGAUAACAACAAUGUAUGGGGACAGAAUAUGUUUCUAGAGCUGCUGGUGCCACUACUUCUGACAAGUUACUGGGGUCCCUGAAAUAAAACACCACAGUGCAGAAGUGUUCUCUUGGACUGCUGACAGGUCCACCAUAAAAGAUUGUUCCUGUAUAUGAAGCUCUGAGUGACUACCAUAUGCCAACCACUCUAUAUGGAUUUUCUCAUUUGGAACUGUGAGCCGGUGCUUAUCCAAGUUUAUGAUGCACUGAAAACAGGAGAAUCACUGGUAACUUGUCAGUGAUACCACUAUGAGUUCCUGUGUAAGAGGAUACCUGCCUCAGAGAGGAAGUAUCAAGGGAUGCAGCCUGCAGAAGCCUUAGUGGCUGGCUCUCCUGUGGGCUGAGUCACCCAUGGGUGCAUAGGGUGAAAAGACAGGAAUUCACACUUGCUGAGCAAGCCUCUAAGCAGACACACUUUGAAACCUGACAACACACAAGAAUCAUCGAUGCUGGCAUCCUCUGGACCUCAAAACACUGGUUUCUCCUGCCCUAUCUUGUCAUCCAUUUCCCUUCCCUUCAAUGGCCCAAAAAGUGGGGGUAUGAAGGGGAAAGACACUGACCAAAAAGCGGGAGACUUAAUUAGACCUUAUAUGCAUGCCAGGAUGCCUAAUGUUAAGAAGCAGAAUGAGAAGUGUGAGUUUAAGUCUACACUUCGAUAGAGCUUAGGAGAGUUCCUAGGGCAGAUAUAAUCAUGCUCCACUGUUUCUAUUCAAAGAGGCCUCCAGAAAGUUUAAGAUAUCUCUUGAAAAGAAAUCCUUUGACUGGAGAAAUUUGUAUACACAAAUAUCUUAUGCCCUAGCUACAAUACCAUUUAAAAUCCCUCAAAGGAGAGUGUUUAACCUAAAAUCCCUCAAAGGAGAGUGUUUCACCCCAAGUUUCUACCUAACAUAUACCAGACGACACUCUGAUUCUACGGGGAAGGAAGUCACUCUUAGAAGCCCAGAACCUAGAACCUUUCAAGGGGAGGGGCUGGCACUGGAGGUCUUCAGUGUAUCUGCCACUUUUCAGAUUCCUAAGGAAGAAUGGAGUCACAGCCAUGACUCAUUGUAACCCUAGUGAGAUGAAAUGGAUUCCCAAAAUACACUGAUUCUUGGCAAAGCACAUUCUAAAUUGGUAUCUUUGGGAAAAGUGGAGGGAGAGGCACUUGUAAAGAAAAUGAGAGCUUCUUAGCUUGACUAGGAGCUAGAGGAAGUGCUAACUCUUUCAGAUUUUGUGAUGCAACACUGGGAAAAUGCUUUGCUUCUCAAAAGAAAUGAAAAUGUUUCAUUCGAAUCUCUCUCACCAAUAAGACUGGAUUCCUAGCUCAA